GAUUUGAGUUUGUGGUGUUUUCUCAAGUUUAUUGUGUCUUGAGAUUCCUUUUUCAUUUCUUAUCAAUUAGUACAAGGUUAGGAAAUAGGAAGGUUGGCAUUCUUCCAAAAACGAUUGCCAAGAACAAUUUGUUGGAAGGAAAUACAUCAAAGUGCAUUGAUAUGCCUACCCUUUCCUUUGCAUUCUGGGUGUUCUACUAAUAGAAAUGCCUUCCAUUUCUUGUAUGCUUUGGUUUUCUGACCAAUUUUGUUUUCUCCAUUGUAAUGAGAAUAUUGUCUGAUCUGUUUUGCUUUGUUUGAUUCUUUUGAAAGGUGUUACAUAGGGGUUAGGUUUGAUGCUGCAGUAGAUCCACAAUAAAGAGUGACCUAGUAACAGGCCACUGGAAAGUCGCGGUUACCCAGACAAGUAGUAGCUCUGGCACAACUCAGCUUUCACUGGGUCAAAAAGCUGGCAUAUGCUAAGAAGUUCAAAUGAACAGUUAUUAAUGCAAAGAAGACAUUUCUUAAUGCUUACAGACUUGUUCUGUAUCAAGGAGACAUUCUUCAGUAAUGGAAGAGGGAGUUUUAUUUUUUAAUACAAGUGGACUCAUGACCAAACUGAUAAGCAGCUGGUCUCUAUAAAAUGUUUUCUUUCUCUUUUGAUCUGAAACAUUUAUAUAAACUGCUGGAAUAAUGGAACUUCAGACUACCAAGUGUGUAUGUAAAAUUGCAUCGAUGCCCUGACUUCCUGACUAUAUUUUUAAUAAACAGCAUUAUCC
rnacentral:lncRNA from 1 species